UACGUAGGGUGCAAGCGUUCAUCGGAAUUACUGGGCGUAAAGCGCGCGUAGGUGGUUCGUUAAGUUGGAUGUGAAAGCCCCGGGCUCAACCUGGGAACUGCAUCCAAAACUGGCGAGCUAGAGUAUGGCAGAGGGUGGUGGAAUUUCCUGUGUAGCGGUGAAAGGCGUAGAUAGAGGAAGGAACACCAGUGGCGAAGGCGACCACCUGGGCUAAUACUGAAGCUGAGGUGCGAAAGCGGGGGGCGCAAACAGGAUUCGAUACCCCCGUAGUCC
rnacentral:rRNA from 1 species